rnacentral:rRNA from 1 species
GUCGAACGAGAAACCCGGGCUUGCCCUGGUGGACAGUGGCGAACGGGUGAGUAACACGUGAGCAACCUGCCCCGAAGACGGGAAUAAGCCGGGGAAACCUGGUCUAAUGCCCGAUGCCCUCACCGGACCGCAUGAUCCGGUGAGGAAAGCUCCGGUGCUUCGGGAUGGGCUCGCGGCCUAUCAGCUUGUUGGUGGGGUCACGGCCCACCAAGGCGACGACGGGUAGCUGGUCUGAGAGGAUGUCCAGCCACACUGGGACUGAGACACGGCCCAGACUCCUACGGGAGGCAGCAGUGGGGAAUAUUGGACAAUGGGCGCAAGCCUGAUCCAGCCAUGCCGCGUGGGUGAUGAAGGCCCUAGGGUUGUAAAGCCCUUUCGGCGGGGAAGAUAAUGACGGUACCCGCAGAAGAAGCCCCGGCUAACUUCGUGCCAGCCGCCGCAGUAAUAC